GAUGAAGAACGUAGCGAAAUGCGAUAAGUAAUGUGAAUUGCAGAAUUCAGUGAAUCAUCGAAUCUUUGAACGCACCUUGCGCCCUUUGGACAUUCCGAAGGGCAUGCCUGUUUGAGUAUCAUGAACACCUCAACUCUCACGGCUUGUCCGUGAUGAGCUUGGACUUUGGGGGUCUUGCCGGCCUGUGGUCGGCUCCUCUCAAAUGGAUCAGCUUGCCAGUGUUUGGUGGCAUCACAGGUGUGAUAACUAUCUGCGCUUGUGGUUUUCCAUCAGAUAACCUUCAGUGAUAUGGAGGUUCGCUGGAGCUCACAAAUGUCUCUCCUUAGUGAGGACAGCUCUUUGAACGUUUGAUCUCAAAUCAGGUAGGACUACCCGCUGAACUUAAGCAUAUCAAUAAGCGGAGG
rnacentral:misc_RNA from 1 species